ncrna:unclassified sequences RAGATH-7-assoc RNA
CUAGAGGACAUCUUACUAUUAUUACAACCCAAUGUAGUAUGAAUACUCGUGUAUGGCGUAGCUUUCCUUAAUUAGGAGCAGUGAUAACAUCAUGUAGGCGCAGAGACGUAGGAGACUCUAG